UCCAUCGCGAGGUGGAAUCUGAAGGAAGUCGGCGGCAAAAACCCUCGGACUCACCUUCUGGCGAGAACAAGGACUUAGAAGUUUAGUCGAAAGAUACAACGAACUUCGUUGCACAACAUGAACCGCCGUAUACCGAACGGUACGUACGGUGGUGUGAGAGGACGGGGGUUAAU
rfam:Desulfotomaculum putei DSM 12395 genome assembly, contig: EJ51DRAFT_scaffold00002.2